CCUACGGGUGGCUGCAGUCGAGAAUCAUUCACAAUGGGGGAAACCCUGAUGGUGCGACGCCGCGUGGGGGAAUGAAGGUCUUCGGAUUGUAAACCCCUGUCAUGUGGGAGCAAAUUAAAAAGAUAGUACCACAAGAGGAAGAGACGGCUAACUCUGUGCCAGCAGCCGCGGUAAUACAGAGGUCUCAAGCGUUGUUCGGAAUCACUGGGCGUAAAGCGUGCGUAGGCUGUUUCGUAAGUCGUGUGUGAAAGGCGCGGGCUCAACCCGCGGACGGCAGAUGAUACUGCGAGACUAGAGUAAGGGAGGGGGAACCGGAAGUCGCGGUGUAGCAGUGAAAUGCGUAGAUAUCGAGAGGAACACUCGUGGCGAAGGCGGGUUCCUGGACAUUAACUGACGCUGAGGCACGAAGGCCAGGGGAGCGAAAGGGAUUAGAUACCCCUGUAGUC
rnacentral:rRNA from 1 species